AGGAACCUGUCUUUGUCCAUGGAGCACAACUCUCUGCCUGUCACUGUGAAGUUGGAGGGUCUGAUUCCGUGCAAGGAGAACUCCCUGGAUGCCCAGGAGACCCACUGUAGGACCUGGGUGUCAGACCACUGGCGAGGAUCUAUGAAAAUAAAUAUAAAAACAUUGCGAUGAAGCCCAUGGGAGUCCCACCCACCACUGCCCCGGGCCUUCUGAGGGCGCGUAUAUUCUACACAAACGACGGGUACCACAAACCACAAGAUGGCCAAACUGGAACCGUUCCAGUGGACAAUUUGGAUCAGGUGUGUUUUGGAUUAAAGAUCGCGUUUAUAAUCAUUUUGCCAAUCCGACGUAAUCUGAAACGUUUCAUGCAUAAUUCAUCCAUGACCAGGAAUGCGACUGAUUACAUACGCGGAUUUGUUGACAGAACUAAUUAAAAAUUGCAAAGAUAAGUUAGCAAAAGACAAACAACGCGAGAAACGUGAGAGCAAAGAAGAAACAAAUUAGUAAAAGAAAAAUAAUUUGUGAAAAGCUCUGGAGAUUUAAAAGAAAACCCUGUUCACCAAAAAGCUUUGUUAGUAAUAAAUAUCAA